CCCUUGCUUCCGGCAUUUGAGUCUCCUCUUACGACACGCAUGGCUUAUGGAGGAAGAAUUCUGUUCCACUUCCCCAUGGAGAUUAAUCUAAUUAACAAUAUGUAUUCCUUAUGGGAACAAAUUCGUAUCCUGAGGUACCACUGGACUGUAUUCAUACUGAAGAACUAGUAAAAAUAUUUGCUAUCAGAAAGUAAUAAAAGAUAUUUACUAUAGUACCAUUGUUAAGUUGGUGGGUAAUACCUAUAUUAAAUAACUGCAUAAGAACAAAUAAAGAAUAUGUUGUUUGUGUCUAAUAGCUGCUCAAGAACAAAAAAAAUUGUGUUAAUAAUGCUAACAAAAAAAAGAAAGUCUUAAAGCUGGCUCUUUAAUAUCUUUGUAAAGUUAUCAAGACAUGUAUUGAAUUCAUUACCUGACAGCAGUUGUAGGGUUUAUCUUGAAACAUGAACCCCUCAAGGAAGGUUCCUUGAUGUUGGUGAGGGGCUCUUGAUUUAGGGAAUUGGAUCUGUGCUCCAGUUCCCCAAAUUAAGCCUGAAUGCCUUCCACAUCCCCCCCCCCAGGCGCUGUAUAAUCCUCCGGGUUUAGCGCUUCCCCCUUGAUUAUAAUAAUAAUAAUAAUUGAAACAUGAAGCUGUGUCAGACACGGAUCUUAAGAACUUUACUGAUGAAUCCUUCAACCAAACUAUGUACUUCCUCUGGCGAGUUAUUAAGAACACUUAUUCAUCAGACAGUAAACCUCUGCAACCACAUAUAGGUGAGUAUAGCACUAAGGUGCAAGGAUGAGUAAAGGAGACAGUGGAGUCCAAGGGUUCGUGUUGCUGGUGCAAAAAUUUGUCAAAGUUGGUGUAAUGGAUUAGUUAAAAAUUUGAGCAAGUUGACAUUAAAGGUGGAGUUUUUAGCGAUGUCAUUUAAGCUUGCCUCUGGCAAGAGAGUGAAAACGUGAAUGAUGGUGAAAGCGUUUCUUUUUUCGGAUUACCCUGCCUUGGUGUGAGACUGCCAGUGUUAAAUAAAAGUAGUGAAGAUGAAAGUAAAUUCUGCCAUCUAUUCAGAUGCGGUGAACCAAUAGCUCGACCCGAUAGUCCUUACAGAGGUAUUCCGAAUAUCUCUUCACGCAGUAUCAGAGUAAAAUUCACAAUUGUAAAAAUGGUCUGCUAUACUUGACAGCCAUGGAUAGAUGAUGGCCAGAAAGCUAAUUGCAGUUUAAUGGAAAGCAAUUUUGUUUUACCCAAACUUGGACCAACGUUGUUGCUAGUGGUUUUAAAGUUGAGA